AGCUUUUUGAAUCCGUGCUGAGAUUUCAUCAGUCACCAGCCCAUUAGCGCUAACCAGAUAUCCAAGAUAAGUGAAGUU
rnacentral:pre_miRNA from 1 species